CAGUCGUGAGGAAGGCGGCGUCGUUAAUAGCGGCGUUGUUUGACGUUAGCGACAGAAGAAAGCACCGGCUAACUCCGUGCCAGCAGCCGCGGUAAUACGGAGGGUGCGAGCGUUAAUCGGAAUUACUGGGCGUAAAGCGCAUGCAGGUGGUUUGUUAAGUCAGAUGUGAAAGACCCGGGCGUCAACCUCGGAAUUGCAUUUGUAAACUAGGCAGACUAGAGUACUGUAGAGGGGGGUAGGAAUUUCAGGUGUAGCGGUGAAAUAGCGUAGAGAUCUGAAGGAAUACCGGUGGCGAAGGCGGCCCCCUCGGACAGAUACUGACACUCAGAUGCGAAAGCGUGGGGAGCAAACAGGAUUAGAUACCCUGGUAG
rnacentral:rRNA from 1 species